UAUUCUUUUUGUCUAUUUACUGAGUUAAUCUAAAAUAAUGUUUUCCUUUACCAGGUCUGCAAUGAACAUGGAUUUGACAAACUAUGCCCGGACCCAACUGGCUGGAUAGACCUCGAACAAUGUGUUGGAUCAGGAGGAUUUGGAGUAAUCCAUAAGGCAUGGCAUUUUAAGGAAAAGAAAGAAGUGGCCAUAAAAGUGAUAAAAGACCUUAGGG